rnacentral:lncRNA from 1 species
CAAAGAUGAUUUAUGAAUGUAGACUUAAAAAUAGAUAGUUUGGAACGUUGAAACAAAAAUUGUAGUGGAUCCCUCAAUAAAAAGGAACAUAUAUAUAUAUAUAUAUGUCAAAGCAUAAUUUACCACAUAUGUCAAACUGUAAUUUGCAGAGGAGUAUGUCCUUUUUGGAAAAUAGGCAAACAAUAUCCAUAUGUGAUUGAAUUCGUGUGAAAAGUCUCCCUACUCGACUAAGUUUUCUUUGCAACUUACUUAGUGCGUGUACUGUAUAAUGAAGACCCCCUUUGUCCAUCGAAGAAAAGGAACAAACACUAGUGGUGGGUUGGAAUGGAAAUUGUAUAUGACUGGUAGUUGAAAAUCCAAGUGUUUCCUUCUCAUUAUUUCUAGCUACCCCAAAUUUUUAAAAAAAAGAAAAAAAAAAAACAAAAGUUGACUAGCUACUUGAUUUGAGUGACUCAUGCAGUGCAUGCUCGGUUAAUUAUUGUGGCCAUAACAAGACGAAUCACCAUGUGUUGAGUUGACUUGAGAGGUCAUUGUCCAAAAAUAAAUUGAAAUUGAAAAGUAUUAUUUAAUUAUUAAUUUUUCUUCUGUCUUUUUUGUUUGUUUGUUUUUUUUUUUGGGUUUCAAGUACACACAACUCCUUUAGACGUAUCAAGAGAGGAAAACUCUCUUAACUAAGCAAUCCAAAAUAUCAGAAAAAUAUCUCUGAGAACCAAGUCUGAGUUUUAGACCUCUGAGUUCAGACAAAAAAAAAAGGACCUCUGAUCUUGCAUAAAAUCCAACACAAGAAACAGAGCUAGAAAAUUUCCUUACAGAUAAGGUGAUAGUCUAAAAGAUGAUUCCAAGUCCAAAAACCGAGAAUAUAUAAUUACAACAAAUAUAUUGUUCACUGUGUAUUGAAAAACAAUAGUGGUUGUACAUCGAAUGAAGAACCUGUACCGCCAUCCGUACAAGGACCUGUUGAUGAAGAAACAACAUCCCAAACCUCAUUUAUUUCCUGAGUUUGGACACAUCGGACCUCUGGGAAAACUUGUUGAACAUCAGUCUCAGCUCUAACUGACAAUUGAAUUCCCUCCAACUCCACUGCUACUUCUUUCAUAGUAGGACGAUUCCUUCCAUUCAAAUUCAAGCAUCUAACAGCAAGGUUAGCAACUGCUGUAAUCUUUUCCUUUCUACCAUCCUUCAUAACUUGAGAAUCAAGAAUAUCAAAUAGAAGAUUAUUCUCCAUGGAAAGCAGGAAAUAAGUUGCUAGACUUCUGCUUUCUUGUGACCUCAUCAAAGAAACUGGUUUUUGUCCAGUCAAGAGCUCAGCAAGGACCACGCCAAAGCUAUAAACGUCACUCUUCUCUGUAAACUGGCUUGAUUGGAAGUACUCCGGGUCCAGAUAACCAAACGUUCCAUGUACUAGUGUAGUAAGGUGCGUUUGAUCAAUGGAAACUGAUCUUGAAGUCCCAAAGUCAGCUACUUUUGCUCUGUACUUUUCAUCCAAGAGUAUAUUAGAAGACUUGAUGUCUCGGUGGUAAAUGGGAAAGGAAGCAGCUGAGUGUAAGUAGGAAAGAGCUCCUGCGACUUCAAUGGCAAUUCGUAAGCGCAUUUCCCAUGUAAGACAAAACUCCUCAUUUGGGUGAUGAAUAUACUGAGAAAGCGUUCCAUUGAGUAUGAAUUCAUAAACCAAAAGGGGGACUUCAGUCUCUAAACAACAACCCAAUAGUUUAACAACAUUUCUGUGAAUAAUUUGUGAAAGAAUGACAAUUUCAUUAAUAAAUUGUCCGACUUCUCCUCCAUCAACUAUUUUUGACUUCUUGACAGCAACAAUUCUUCCAUCUGACAGCAUUCCCUUGUAAACAGUACCUUGACCUCCUUGACCAAGAAUUCUAUCUAUACUGAACUUGUCUGUGGCUUUGUCUAAAUCCUUUGAACUGAACAACUUAAUUUUCUCAACAUUAACUUCACCAGAAGAUAAUUGCUUCUCCAACAAUAAACCUCCAUUUUGUUUAAAAAACUUUUGCUUGCGUUUGAUAUCCUUCCUCUUCUUUAUAACUUUGUGCGACCACCAAGCUCCAAUGAGUAGAAACAAGAGUCCAAUCACACCGCCAGCAACUGAGUACUCAAUAAGAUACAAAUAUUGAUAACGUGAUCAAGAAGAUUUUUUUUUUUUUUUUUUUGUGUGACAAAUAUGUCUAUAAUUUCAAAUUUUCCACCAAAGGGCCCAAAGUUUAAUUUAUUAAAGUGCAUUGGCAUACCUAAAAUGCCCACGUUAAUCCGUAGUAUUUGUCGAUCCGGCUGGUAGCAUACAAAGUGCCCUGGAAGAUUGAUACAAGUGCCCGGACCACAUCUAUAUUGGUUGUCACAUUCGUUGAUAUCUGGAAUAUAUAAUGACAAGUGGAAAAUGGGGGAAAAAAUAGAAGAAAGAAGGGAUGGUUAAUUAUAAAUGGUAUCUACAAAAUCAAUCAAGGAAAUCCAAAUGAAUAUCCAUAGCUCAUACAGUUGUACUCAUCGUUUACCUUCGUUGGUUGAAGAAUUUAAUUAAUUACAAACAAUAAAAAUUAGGGUAACGUACAGAUCAGUACUGAAAAAAGGAAUUCUCAUAAUUUGAGCAUGACUUUUGAUUUGGACAUAUACAAUGGUAGGCUUGCGUACCUUGACAUCCAUCAAGAAGAUAGGGGUUUCCUUGAUAGCCCUUUUUGCAAGAACAUUGCCGAAAAAUGUUGCAGUUCAUGUUUUGAUGGGAAAAGUUAUAUGUUCCAUAUAUAUGCUGUUCAGAAUAUUGAUUCAACUGAUAUUCCAGCACUACAGGGACGCUGUCCAUGUCCACAAUGGUAGAGAUAUUUGUUGACAUAAACCAAUCGUGGUCUACCAUGAAGGCAUACUUGCAUUCCAUUUCACUGUCACUACCGUUAAUUAGCACUGCUGCAAAACUAGUAUUGAAGAAUGAAAGACCAUCCAAAAUGGUGGUCUGGCAGCAGCGCAAACCACUACAGCUAUUAUUUUGAAAGAUAGUACUAGUACUGUGAGUAAUAUUAUCACAAAUGGAAUAGCACCCACCAAGUGGGCUCCCCUGAUCUGUCAUCAAGGCAAUUACAUCACAACCGAUUGAAGUGAAUCUGUUGCUCUUGGAAAACACAAAAGGGCUUCCAAGCAAGUUGGGUGCCUGGCGGUCGCUCUUCUUGUUAUCGCAAUUAGAGAAGGUGAUUGCGCUUGUGACUGUAAGUGUGCCUCCAAGAGAAAUUUCCAGCACCUCUAACCCAGUCCGGUUCAAGAAAGCCUUCGGAGGGCUGGCUGAGUUGUUGCAUAUUAUUUGGAACCAGUCGUCCAGGUAACAACCUGCUCCAAUUCCGAAAGGAUAUGGGAUUUGAGUGAUGUUUCCGCAUUGCGACAAACAAUUUGGUUUUGCCAAGGAUGCUUCUGAUGCUACUGCUAGUAGUGCAUUACUCAUAGACCACAAGAACAGAGUGAUAUGAAGUAGCAACUGGCCAACCAUUAUGUUUCUUCUUCCUUCUCUUUAAUUACCAAUCUGCCUGCGUAGUAGGAAGCUUGGAAUUAGAAUUUAGCUAGCAAAGCAAAAUGCUCAUUCUUGAGCCUAAGCUUUCUCUCGGAUAAUAUUAAAAGAAAAUAAGGAAGGGGCAGAGUAGUACUGUUACAAGUCAAGUCCACUAACUACGACAAAUUAUUCAGGUUUACCAUUUCUUCUUCAGAAGAAAAAACAAACACACUGGAGCAAGAAGUUUGAGGUGAACUUUCUUUGCAAUGUGUUUGGGAGCUUUAUUACACCUAAAAUGGACCCCACAAAAUGACAAAUCAUACUUUUUAUAAAUCAUUUACUAACUCUUGUAUAUUUCUUUGCUUUGUCUAUUGACCAACUUGUAGAGUAUCUCACACGGAAGGAUCGAUGGAAAAGUUAGCUUAAAAGCUUAAGAGAUGUAGGGCCUCUUCGCACAUGACCAAUUAGUUUAGGGUUUAAUGCUCAUACUCUAUGCCCUACAUAAAGGAUUAGUAGAAUUGAAGGGAAUCUAUUGUUGUCUAGGAUUUAUGUUAUGAUAGCUGUGUGGAAAAAGUAAACCUAAGCAGCCAGACUUGACCGUAAUCAAUUCUACUAAUCCUCUAUGUAGUGCAUAGGGAUUUCUGUUAUCUUGUGUGGAUAAGAAAUGCUUUUGCAGAAUCAUUUUGCAUAUUAUCAUGCAGUUCUCUCUUUCUUCUUUGUUUCCAAGUUGUUGUUUGCCAAGAUGUCCAACUCAACAUAUGUGAUGAGAAGAAAAUGACGCAAUUGAAAAGUAAAAGAUUCUCAAACAAAAAAUUUCUUUGCAACUGUCUUCACGAUGGAAACAAAUUGAAGGAACUUUUCUUUUGGUAAAGUGUGUGGAAAUUGUAUGUGUAGAGCUGUCAUGAUUGUCUGUCUGAUAUGUCUGGUGAUAGAGAAUUCAAUUAGGAAUUGAAUUCCUGAUUUUGGAGAAAUUCAAUUCUUGAGUGGGAGGUGGUAUUUUAAUUUUUGGAGAACUAAACCAUUAGGCUUUUUUACCCAUUAUAUCCUCACGCAAUUUAAAAUUUUCCAAACUUGCCAACUACUUUAACCCAACAACGAGGACAUUUUAGUAAUUAGCACAACUCCUACCUCAAUUCCAUAUGGUUUAGUGAACAACUUUAAUAGGAAUCCGGAAUUUAAUUCUCCGCAAUCCAACUCCUCCUCAAUUCAAUUCAUUCUUAAUUCAAUUCCUCCUAAUCUAAUUACAGAUUAGUAAACAUGUCAUUAGUCUAUAUGGAGGAAGGACUUGGAACACUAGGAAACAAAAUUGAGUUUUAAAUUGUCAUCUGUAACUAGGAGCUAGGGAAAGAAAAAAAAAGCGUGUUAUAUUAAAACAAAUAUUUGUUCAGUGUCUUGGACAGCAAUUCUAGUAGGAACUUGACAAAUCUUCCUCUGCCAGGAUAAAACUUAAAAACAAAAAAACAAGAGUGAUAAUUAAGGAUCAUAGUCCGUCCUUGCUUCACUGCCAUCUCAACUGCUUUAGUUUACGAUCAUAGUCGACUUAAUGAUGGAAUUAAAAAGUAAUAGAUUAUAAAGCAAAAGUUUUCUUUGCAACUUAGUGCGUGUACUGUAUAAUGAAGACCCCCCUUGUCCAUCGACGAAAAGGAACAAACACUAGUGGUGGGUUGGAAUGGAAAUUGUAUAUGACUGGUAGUUGAAAAUCCAAGUGUUUCCUUCUCAUUAUUUCUUCUAGCUACCCACAAAUUUUUUUAAAAAAUAAGUUGACUAGCUACUUGAUUUGAGUCACCCAUGCAGUGCAUGCUCAGUUAAUUAUUGUGGCCAUAACAAGACGAAUCACCAUUUGUUGAGUUGAGAGGUCGUUGUCCAAAAAUAAAUUAAAAUUGAAAAUAUUAUUUAAUUAUUAAUUUUUCUUCUGUCGUUUUUUUUUGGGUUUCAAGUACACACAACUCCUUUAGAUGUAUCAAGAGAGGAAAACUCUCUUAAUUAAGAAAACUAAGCAAUCCAAAAUAUCAGAAAAAUUAUCUCUGAGAACCAAGUCUGAGUUUUAGACCUCUGAGUUCAGACCCAAAAAGAAAGACCUCUAGUUCAUCUUGUUUCCAUUAUUCUCUUCUCUGAUCUUGCAUAAAAUCCAACACAAGAAACAGAGCUAGAAAAUUUCCUUACAGAUAAGGUGAUAGUCUAAAAGAUGAUUCCAAGUCCAAAAACCGAGAAUAUAUAAUUACAACAAAUAUAUUGUUCACUGUGUAUUGAAAAACAAUAGUG